rnacentral:lncRNA from 1 species
UUGAUUGCUUGUUUCUCCAAGAUUUUGAUGCUGACUUUCCACCUUUAGUCUCAAAACCUCAUAAUUGACUUCUUCUAUUAAGUUUUCAGCGCCGUCCACAGCUUCUUGAAGCUCAUUAAGCCACUGGCUCACAUAUGGAUUUGAUGCUUUCUUAUUCUCUGCAUCACUUAACACAGCCUGAAGGCCAAGCAAAGUCAUCCUCAGCUUCUUUAAGAGCCGAACAUCACGCUUGUCCAUCUUAAACAUCUUCAGCAGAUCACCAUUAGGAGCAAGCCUAUCAAAGAGAACAUUCAAAGCUGAACAGAGAAAUGCACCACCAACUGCUAAGCCAAUCUCCAUUUCUGAAAUCUGCAAAGCAAAACAGGAAACCCCAAAAUGAUUAUAAGAAUUUGGAGAAGAUUACUGUUUCUUUACUAAGAGC